rnacentral:rRNA from 1 species
GGGGAAUAUUGCACAAUGGAGGAAACUCUGAUGCAGCGAUGCCGCGUGAGGGAAGAAGGUUUUAGGAUUGUAAACCUCUGUCUUCAGGGACGAAAAAAGACGGUACCUGAGGAGGAAGCUCCGGCUAACUACGUGCCAGCAGCCGCGGUAAUACGUAGGGAGCGAGCGUUGUCCGGAAUUACUGGGUGUAAAGGGAGCGUAGGCGGGAUCGCAAGUCAGAUGUGAAAACUAUGGGCUUAACCCAUAAACUGCAUUUGAAACUGUGGUUCUUGAGUGAAGUAGAGGUAAGCGGAAUUCCUAGUGUAGCGGUGAAAUGCGUAGAUAUUAGGAGGAACAUCAGUGGCGAAGGCGGCUUACUGGGCUUUAACUGACGCUGAGGCUCGAAAGUGUGGGUAGCAAACAGGAUUAGAUACCCUGGUAGUCCACACCGUAAACGAUGAUUACUAGGUGUUGGAGGAUUGACCCCUUCAGUGCCGCAGUUAACACAAUAAGUAAUCCACCUGGGGAGUACGACCGCAAGGUUGAAACUCAAAGGAAUUGACGGGGGCCCGCACAAGCAGUGGAGUAUGUGGUUUAAUUCGACGCAACGCGAAGAACCUUACCAAGUCUUGACAUCCUGCGACGCGCAUAGAAAUAUGUGUUUCCUUCGGGACGCAGAGACAGGUGGUGCAUGGUUGUCGUCAGCUCGUGUCGUGAGAUGUUGGGUUAAGUCCCGCAACGAGCGCAACCCUUACUGUCAGUUACUACGCAAGAGGACUCUGGCGAGACUGCCGUUGACAAAACGGAGGAAGGUGGGGAUGACGUCAAAUCAUCAUGCCCUUUAUGACCUGGGCUACACACGUACUACAAUGGCGUUAAACAAAGAGAAGCAAGACCGCGAGGUGGAGCAAAACUCAAAAACAACGUCUCAGUUCAGAUUGCAGGCUGCAACUCGCCUGUAUGAAGUCGGAAUUGCUAGUAAUCGUGGAUCAGCAUGCCACGGUGAAUACGUUCCCG